UGGGGAAUAUUGCACAAUGGGGGAAACCCUGAUGCAGCGACGCCGCGUGAGCGAAGAAGGUUUUCGAAUCGUAAAGCUCUGUCCUAUGGGAAGAUAAUGACGGUACCAUAGUAGGAAGCCCCGGCUAACUACGUGCCAGCAGCCGCGGUAAUACGUAGGGGGCAAGCGUUGUCCGGAAUCACUGGGCGUAAAGGGUUCGCAGGCGGAAAUGCAAGUCAGUUGUGAAAGGCAGAGGCUCAACCUCUGUAAGCAAUUGAAACUGUAUUUCUUGAGAUGUGGAGAGGCAAGUGGAAUUCCUAGUGUAGCGGUGAAACGCGUAGAUAUUAGGAAGAAUACCGGUGGCGAAGGCGACUUGCUGGACACAAACUGACGCUGAGGAACGAAAGCGUGGGUAGCAAACAGG
rnacentral:rRNA from 1 species